CAGUGUUUCACUUUGGCCACCAGAGGCUUCCUGCUGAGUUUACAGAGAUGCUCUGAAGCAGCUCUGCUUUCUUUCCUGUUCAGCCUUAUCCAACCUUUUACUGCAAACCAUCAACCUGCUAAAUCACUGAGAGACGGAGCUCUUCAGCAUCUCUGCAUUGCAGCCAUGGCAACCACAGAAAGCAUGUUUCCAGAUCGAAGUGACUUUGACUAUGUACCAACUCAUCUGGUACCCAAAUUCCAAAGACAGAGGUGCCUCCUCAAACUGUAUAGAAAAUACUGAAUGUUCUGGGGACAGAGGAAGUCGGCAGAGGAGCCACGCCAGCAGAAGAAACUCAGCAUGGUGAUGCCUACUGCCUCUUGGCUUACAUACCACACUACUUGCUGGAAGAUCAAAAACAGGGUUUUCAAAAUGAUCCUUACCUGAAUUCAUGGAGUCUAUGCCAAUAUAUUCUGUAAAAAGUCCCCAUGUCAGCAAAAAAAGUAUAUCAAUAGUUUGCUGUGUUUUGCGUUCGUGUUGGAUUGAAAGCUUGUCUAAGACAAACAAUAAACAUCAGAUACUCAUAUUCAUGAGCCUUCAUGAGGCCCUUUUAAGAAAAAUA